GACGAACGCUGGCGGCGUGCCUAAUACAUGCAAGUAGAACGCUGAAGAGAGGAGCUUGCUCUUCUUGGAUGAGUUGCGAACGGGUGAGUAACGCGUAGGUAACCUGCCUUGUAGCGGGGGAUAACUAUUGGAAACGAUAGCUAAUACCGCAUAACAAUGGAUGACACAUGUCAUUUAUUUGAAAGGGGCAAUUGUUCCACUACAAGAUGGACCUGCGUUGUAUUAGCUAGUAGGUGAGGUAAUGGCUCACCUAGGCGACGAUACAUAGCCGACCUGAGAGGGUGAUCGGCCACACUGGGACGGAGACACGGCCCAGACUCCUACGGGAGGCAGCAGUAGGGAAUCUUCGGCAAUGGGGGCAACCCUGACCGAGCAACGCCGCGUGAGUGAAGAAGGGUUUCGGAUCGUAAAGCUCUGUUGUAAGUCAAGAACGGGUGUGAGAGUGGAAAGUUCACACUGUGACGGUAGCUUACCAGAAAGGGACGGCUAACUACGUG
rnacentral:rRNA from 1 species